rnacentral:rRNA from 1 species
UACGUAGGAGGCGAGCGUUAUCCGGAUUCACUGGGCGUAAAGCGCAUGUAGGCGGUUGGACAAGUCGUGUGUUAAAGCCCCUGGCUCAACUGGGGGAGGUUAUGCGAGACUGUGCGACUUGAGGGCAAGAGAGGCACGUGGAACUCCCGGUGUAGCGGUGGAAUGCGUAGAGAUCGGGAAGAACACCAGUGGCGAAGGCGACGUGCUGGGUUGCACCUGACGCUGAGAUGCGAAAGUGUGGGGAGCAAACGGG